rnacentral:lncRNA from 1 species
GCCCACUGCAGCUCCUUGGUAUGCUGAGCGCCAGUCCCCUGGGCCCACUGUUGUUUCUCUAUACUUUGUCUCUGUCUUAUUUCUUUUCUCAGUCUCUCGUCCCACCCGACUAGAAAUACAGGUGUGGAGGGGCAGGCCACCCCUUCAAGUGAGAAGAAAGAUUUAUAAUCUAAGCUAUGUUGUUUGAUAGUACCAUGUAGUCAGUAAAAAGCCUUUGAGGGGUUUUAAGGAAGAGGUUAACAAGGCAGGGUUUCCAUGCUUUGAGCAGACAAUGUGACCUACUCAGAAGAUAAUGAAUUUGAUAUUAAUGGGGCUAGAACAGGCACAAAUGGUUAAGGGCCACAUGCCAUAGAAGCAAAUGAUGUUUUUACGUGGAACUGUGAUAUUAACAAAGAAAACUAUUUCUCAGUGGAAAUACCAAUCUCUACCAGAAAGGAGAACUAAUUACUGACAAUGCUACACUAGAACAGAUUUAGAAUGUAAUGUUGGUUUCCUUCUCUGAGGAAGUGGGGUGUAUCUAAAUGGCUGUUAUUGUUAUAUAGCAACAUUGUGGUUGCUGCAUAGUAACCUUGUGUGUUUAUUACCAAUUUAUUGCCUCUUAGUUUCAAAUCUAUCCUUCACCAUCCUGCUCUACCAUAAUGAAAGCAGAGCCCAUAAAAUUUCUCCCUUGCCAGCUUAUAUGAUAAAUUUUGUCCCUAAAAGGCAGUGUGUAGUCUGGAGGAAAAAGGGUUUUUCUUCCUGGUUUUAUGAUACUUUCUCUCCUUUUGCUCCUAUGACUGUGGCUACCAGCUGCAUGUUUGCAUAACAUCCUGCGGUAUUUACCCUCCAGCAAGUUUUUGUUAGCUGUCCGGAUCCCUGUUACAUGCCUUCCGGUAUCUAGCUCCAGCACUCUGGAAUGAAAACUCUUCCUCCUGGCCAGUCACAGCGUGAGAUCCAUCCUCGCCAAUUUCAACUUGCUAGUUUUAGAACUGCCCUGUCCUAGGGCCACCCACAAUUGUUGAAUUGUCAUUUUAAACACCUUCAAAGACUAGAAGAAAUUAAUUCAUCGUGGAAAUAUUCAUUUUAUUCAGCACUUAGAAAUAACAGUUCUUGAUAAUAUUAUGAUUUAUAAUUUAUACAUGGUGUAUUUUAAUGAAUUGCAGGUGUUUAAGAAAUAAGUAACAUAGCAGGGCGCGGUGGCUCAUGCCUGUAAUCCCUCACGCCUACAAUCCCUCACGCCUGUAAUCUCAGCAGUUUGGGAGGCCGAGGUGGACAGAUUGCUUGCGGUAAGGAGUUUGAGACCAGCGUAGCCAACAUGGCGAAACCCCAUCUCUACGAAAAAUUAGCCAGGCAUGGUGGUGAGUGCCUGUAGUCCCAGCUACUUCGGAGGUGGAGGCCGAAGAAUUGCUUGAGCCUGGAAGGCUGAGAUCUCAGUGAGCCGAGACUGCCACUGCACGGGUGACAGAGCGAGCCUCUGUCUCAAAGAAAGAAAGAGUAUGUACCUGGAUAUGUAUUUUUAAAAUAAUGUAAAGAUUUAAAAAUAGUUCGAAGAACCUAAUUGUAUGGCUUUUGAAGCAACUAGAAGUAUGUUCUUUACAGAUGGUGGGAGUAAUGUUAUAUUAAGUUUGUGUAAGCUAUAACACUUAAGUGUUUAUAAGCAUGUUUAUAAGCUGGUGUUUACAAGCAUGUUUUUAUUUCCGAACAAAAUUCAAAAGAAGUUUGUCUUUGUAAAAAUUCAGAUGUGCACAGUUCUUGUUCCUCUCUGAAGAUAUUGGAAAUGUAUUGCUAAUACUGGUAAUAUAUAACAAUUUUUUUAUGAAUAGAUGACUUAUUUAAUAGUUACGUAUCUAAAUCUGAAUAUUUUCUAUAUAAUUUGUCUAUGGAAACAAAUAUUUAUACAAUUGUUCACAUAUUGCUCUUUUCUUUGUAAUGUUAUUCCUUCUAGGUAUAAAAUAUAGACGUUCUCAAGAAGAUUAGUGUUUGCAAUAGAAAGCUGGGCCAUUUGGCCACACCUGCAAAUGAUUAUUGGUUUUGCGGGAGACUGCAAUCCAUAAAAAAUUACUGGCAGAGUUUGAGAAUUUGUAUAAGAAAACAAAUUUUAUGAGAUGCAAAAUCAAUACUAUUAUACUAAUUUAAAUUUUGUAAUAGCAAAGCUAAUUCUUGUUACUUUUCAGUCUUUCAAUUCACUAAGAUAAUGAGUGUUACGCACUGAACACAUACAAAUGUAUUGCUGUGACUGAAUGAAGAGGACAAAUUAACAAAGCAAUUCCGAGGCCCUGGAAAUUGAUCAAAGGCUAAUAAUCAUUUGUGAACUAUUUAUUCUUGGAAAAACUGCUAGAGAUUCAAGGAAGAGUGCAGCAAAUUUGUAGUAAGUUUACCUAGUGCUGCUCCCGUGCCUUCUGCCCACCCACCACACCCAGCACAGUGAGUAACAGUUGCAGUUUUUACAGCUGGGGGAAAAUCAACAGUGUUUUUUGCCACAAGGACAGACUUGAUUAGCGGUCAGAGGUUGGGGCAUAGUGUAACAGACCACUGCUUUUCAACUGAAAGUGCUGAAUUUUGCAGGAAAUGAAUGAGAAAACCCCAUUUUUUGUUGUUUUUUAUUUUUUUUAGUCUGAGGUGUAGUCUCCUCUGGGGCAAGAACAGUGCCAGCCAUAAAUAUAACAAAAUCCUAAACAUGAGAGUGCAAUAGACCUCAUGACAUUAGCCCUCUACAUAUUCUUUAAAUUUUUUUUUAAAUUGACACAUUGUAAUUGUACAUAUUUAUGGGGUACAACUUGAUGUUCAAUACAUAUAUAUGUUACAUUAAAUAAUCAAAUCAGGGUAUUUAGUGUAUCUGUCUACCUCAUGUAUUUAUCAUUUCUUUGUGGUGAGAACGUUCAAAAGCCUCUGUUCUAGCUAUUUUGUAAUAUGCAAUAUCUUACUGUUAACCAUCAUCACCCUACUAUGCAAUAGAACAGAACUUAUUCCUCCUACCUAACUAUAACUUUGUACCCAUUGACCAAGCUCUCACCCUGUCCCCCUCUUUUUCUCUCCUCCAGUCUCUGUUGACCACUGUUCUGGUGUUUUUCUGGUGAUCGCUCUGCUUCUAUAAUAUCAGCUCUUUUUUGCUUUAUUUCUACAUGAGUGAGAUUAUGUGAUAUUUGUCUUUCUGUAUCUGCCUUAUUUCACUUAACAUGAUGCUCAGCAGGUUCAUCCAUGUUGUAUAAAUGACAGGAUUUUAUUCUUGAUUAUUGAAAAAAAUAUGCAUAUGUGUAGAGGAGACCAGGGUGAUUCCAGUAAAAAGUAAAAGCCCAAGGAGACUUGAGAACUGAUUGCAAAUUUAUGAACACUUCCUUCACCACACACACACACACACACACACACACACACCGCUAGCACAGAGUGGAGCCUCUACUAACUUAAGGUUUUCGAAUAAACCUUUUAAAAUAAUAUAUUGGCUGACAACCAAGCUAUGCAAUUCACAAGGGCAAUCCCUAGGAAAUGGGGCUAAAAAAUAAAAAUAAAAAAUUAGAAUUUGAAACAAAAACAUCAGCAAAUGCAUUUUAAAGGAGAAAGAUUCUGCAGUAAAAUUUUAUGUAAGUUACCCCCCCAAAAUCUUUAUAAACCCCCCAAAUUUAUUUGUAUGAUACUAUAUUAUAAAAAAUGUCUAUUAUAAGAAAUUAGAAAACAUGCAGAAACUGGAAAAUGUCUUCCAUACUUGGAGGGAAAGACAAUCAGUCAAUAAAAUCUGACUUUUUCUGGGACAAGAUGGUAGAUUUAUCAGAAAAUAUAUUUUAAAGUAACUAUUAUAAAUGUACUUAAAUUAUACAGAAAAGUAUGUUCAAUUAAUUAAAUGAAAAUAUGAUGGCAAUGAGAAAACAAGUAGGAAAUUUUGUCAGAGAAAUGAAAACCAAGAAAUAAACCAAAUUCUGAGUUGAGAAGUACAUUACUUGAAACGAAAAAUUCACUAAAUUGGCUAGAAAAAAAAUUGAGAUUCAAAAGGAAGAAUUCAUCAACUUUGGGAUAUAUUAAUAGAAAUUAUUCAUCCCAGAGAAAAAGAGAAUACAGAAAGAUGUAGAAAAAUAAUAUUAAGACAAAACUGACUUAAAAACUUUUCAAAUUUGCUUUUUUAAAAAUGUAUACAUCCAAGAUGCUAAGCAAACUAAUGACUAAUAGAAUCAGCAUGUAGAAAUCCCCAUCUCAAAACAUCAUAAUCAAAUGAUUGAAGAGGAUUUUAAGACAAAGACCCUGAGAUAAUCUUGUGGAACAGGUAGGACGGAUUAUGAGAUGACUUGAGUCUGUGUGAAUGCCAGGGAAUGGUUGAGGUAUCCCCCACCAGCAGGAGUAUUUUGACCACAUUACCUUCCAGAGAACCCACAUUUGCCCUGAAUACUAUUCUAGAUUGGAAGGAGGCAACAUCAACAAGAUAGAGGAAUAGCAUACCCCAGCACUUGCUCCCCAUAGAAACAACAACUUAAUACAUCCAGAAAUAAACGUCGGUACAUAUGGACUAGUGAUUUUCAAUAAGAGUGCCAAGACCAUUCAAUGGGAAAAGGGCAGUAUCUUCCAGAAAUAGUGUUGAGAAAACUGGCUAAACAUAUGCAAAAGAGUGAAAUCAAAGCCUUACAUUACACCAUCUACAAAUAUUAACUCAUAAUGUAUUGAAGACUUAAUGAUAAGAUCCAAAACUGUAAAACUUCUAGAAGAAAACAUGUGAGGAAAGCUUCAUGAAAUUGGAUUUAGCAAUCAUUUCUUGAUAAAACACCCAAAUCACAGCCAACAAAAGCAAAAAAUAGGCAAAUGGGAUUACAUCAGACUUAAAAAUGUCUGCAGAGCAAAUGAUUGAAGCAACAAAAUCAUGUAUCUAAUAAGGGAUUAAUAUCCAGAAUAUAUUAAGAACUUAUGUAAUCCAAUGACAAAAACCCUAAUAACCCUAUUUAAAAAUGGACAAAGGAUUCAAAUAGAUAUUUCUCCAAAGAAGAUAUACAAAUGUCCAAUAAGCAUAUGAAAAGAUGCUCAACAUUACUAUCAUCAGAAAAACAUAAAUCAAAACCACUGUUAAAUAUCACUUCAUACCCAUUAGCAUGGCCGCUAUGAAAAAAGCAGAAAAUAACAAUUAUUGCUUAGGUUGUGAAGAAAUUUGGGCCCUUGUGCACUGUUAAUGAAAAUGUAAAAUGGUACAGUCACUAUGGAAAACAUUAUGGAGGUUCCUCAAAAAAUUUAAAAUUGAGUUGACAUAUGAACCAACAAUCUUACUUCUGUAGAGCCAAAGGAGUUGAGAUCAGGAACUUGAACAGGUAUCGGCACUCCCAUGUUCAUUGCAACAGUUAAAACAUAGAAGCAACAUACAAGCCCAUUGAUGAAUUGGUGGAUAAAGAAAAUGUGGCAUGUGUAUAAAAUGGAAUACAAUUCUGCCAUUAAAAAGAAGAAAAAGCUAUUGCAACAACAUGGAUAAACCUGAAGGACAUUAUGCUGAGUAAAAUAAUAGUAAAUUCAUAGAAGCAGGGAGUAGAAGGGUGGUUGUCAGGGGCUGGGAGAGGGAAAAACAGGAGAGUAUUAGUCAAAGGGUACAAACUUUCAGUUAUACGAGAUGAACAAGGUCUAGAUAUCUGUUUUACUACACAGAACCUGUAGUUAAUAAUGUUGUAUACUAAAGAUUUGGCUAAGAGCGUAGAUCUUAAGUGUUUGUAUCACAAAAAAUAAUAAUAAAGAAGGUGGAAGGAAACUUCUGGAGAUUACAGAUAUGUUUAUGACACAGAUUGUGGUGGUUUCAUGGUUAUACACUUAUCUCUAAUCUUAUCAAGUUGUAUGCAUUAAAUAUGUACAGCUUUUUGUAUGUCAAUCAUACUUCAAUAAAGUUGUUUAAACAUUUUUAAAAAGGAUAAUAUACUUUAUUUUAAAAAAGGAAGUCUUGUUGCAUGCUGCAACAUGGAUAAAUCUUAAGGACAUUAUGCUAAGUUAAAUAAGCCAGUCACACAAAAAAAAUGCUGCCUGCUUUAUUUAUAUGAGAUAUCUAAAGUAUUCAAACUCAUAGAAACAGAAAGUAGAAUGCUGAUUGCUAGGGGCAAAAAGGGGAGUUGUCCAAUGUGUAUAGAGUUUCAGUUUUGCAAAAUGAACAAAUUCUAGAAAUCUGUUGUAAAAUGUGAAUAUAGUUAACACUACUGACCUGUUCACUUAAAAAUGGUUGAGAUAUAUGAUAUGGUUAAGAUGUAAUGGCUCAGAUGUAACAUACUGUAUGAGUUCAACUAUAUGACAUUCUGGAAAAGUAAACAACUAUGGAGACAG